UCGGGAAUCUUCGGCAAUGGACGAACGACUGACCGAGCAACGCCGCGCGCGUGAAGAAGGUUUUCGGAUCGUAAAACUCUGUUGUUAGAGAAGAACAAUGACGUUAGUAACUGAACGUCCCCUGACGGUAUCUAACCAGAAAGCCACGGCUAACUACGUGCCAGCAGCCGCGGUAAUACGUAGGUGGCAAGCGUUGUCCGGAUUUAUUGGGCGUAAAGCGAGCGCAGGCGGUUUCUUAAGUCUGAUGUGAAAGCCCCCGGCCCAACCGGGGAGGGUCAGUGGAAACUGGGAGGCUUGAGGGCAGAAGAGGAGAGUGGAAUUCCAUGUGUAGCGGUGAAAUGCGUAGAUAUAUGGAGGAACACCGGUGGCGAAGGCGGCUCUCUGGUCUGUAACUGACGCUGAGGCUCGAAAGCGUGGGGAGCAAACAGG
rnacentral:rRNA from 1 species